AGUGAACGCUGGCGGCAGGCCUAAUACAUGCAAGUCGAACGGCAGCACAGCAGAGCUUGCUCUGUGGGUGGCGAGUGGCGGACGGGUGAGGAAUACAUGGGAAUCUGCCCAGUCGUGGGGAUAACGUAGGGAAACUUACGCUAAUACCGCAUGCGCCCUUCGGGGGAAAGCCCGGGGAACCUUCGGGCCUGGCGCGAUUGGAUGAGCCCAUGUCGGAUUAGCUAGUUGGCGGGGUAAUGGCCCACCAAGGCGACGAUCCGUAGCUGGUCUGAGAGGAUGAUCAGCCACACUGGAACUGAGACACGGUCCAGACUCCUAGGGAGCAGCAGUAGGGAUAUUGGACAAUGGGCGCAAGCCUGAUCCAGCCAUGCCGCGUGAGUGAAGAAGG
rnacentral:rRNA from 1 species